AUACUUACCCGGCAGGGGAGAUACCAUGAUCACGAAGGUGGUUUUCCCAAGGCAAAGUUUAUCUAUUGAACUCCGGAUGAGCUAAACCCUGCGAUUUCCCCAAAUGCGUUGAAUCUCCACUACAUAAUUUGUGGUAGUGGGGGACUGCUUUCGUGCUUUGUCCUG
ensembl:snRNA U1 U1 spliceosomal RNA